UCGUGGACGCCGGGUGAACGAGAGUAUUGCUGGGUGUUGGGCCGGAGAAAAACAGGAAGACCCAUUGAAGCGUGUGGAUUUGAGCCGCCGCAUUUCUUAACUCUAGAUCUCGAAAUGCAUCGUGAUUCCUGUCCAUUGGACUGUAAGGUUUAUGUAGGCAAUCUUGGAAACAAUGGUAACAAGACCGAAUUGGAACGGGCUUUUGGCUACUAUGGACCACUCCGAAGUGUGUGGGUUGCUAGAAACCCACCCGGCUUUGCUUUUGUUGAAUUUGAAGAUCCCCGAGAUGCAGCUGAUGCGGUCCGAGAGCUAGAUGGAAGAACACUAUGUGGCUGCUGUGUAAGAGUGGAACUGUCAAAUGCUGAAAAAAUAAGUAGAAAUCGUGGCCCACCUCCCUCUUGGGGUCGUCGCCCUCGAGAUGAUUAUCGUAGGAGGAGUCCUCCACCUCGUCGCAGAUCUCCAAGAAGGAGAAGCUUCUCUCGCAGCCGAAGCAGGUCCCUUUCUAGAGAUAGGAGAAGAGAGAGAUCUCUGUCUCGGGAGAGAAAUCACAAGCCGUCCCGAUCCUUCUCUAGGUCUCGUAGCCGAUCUAGGUCAAAUGAAAGGAAAUAGAAGACAGUUUGCAAGAGAAGUGGUGUACAGGAAAUUACUUCAUUUGACGAGAGUAUGUACAGGAAAUUCAAGUUUUGUUUGAGACAGAUAAGCAAAUGCUUAGA